CAACCGGACGCUUUACGAGAUAACCAACUUCAUGCUUACACCAAGGUAAGACUAGUUGGUGCAUUCUAUUCUGGCUUCCUACAU
rnacentral:pre_miRNA from 1 species